rnacentral:rRNA from 1 species
GAUGAACGCUGGCGGCGUGCCUAAUACAUGCAAGUCGAGCGAACGGACGAGAAGCUUGCUUCUCUGAUGUUAGCGGCGGACGGGUGAGUAACACGUGGAUAACCUACCUAUAAGACUGGGAUAACUUCGGGAAACCGGAGCUAAUACCGGAUAAUAUUUUGAACCGCAUGGUUCAAAAGUGAAAGACGGUCUUGCUGUCACUUAUAGAUGGAUCCGCGCUGCAUUAGCUAGUUGGUAAGGUAACGGCUUACCAAGGCAACGAUGCAUAGCCGACCUGAGAGGGUGAUCGGCCACACUGGAACUGAGACACGGUCCAGACUCCUACGGGAGGCAGCAGUAGGGAAUCUUCCGCAAUGGGCGAAAGCCUGACGGAGCAACGCCGCGUGGGUGAUGAAGGUCUUCGGAUCGUAAAACUCUGUUAUUAGGGAAGAACAUAUGUGUAAGUAACUGUGCACAUCUUGACGGUACCUAAUCAGAAAGCCACGGCUAACUACGU